rnacentral:rRNA from 1 species
AUGGGGAACUGCUUCGGCUCCGAGGAAACCGAAUUAGAAGGGGGCUCGUCCAUGAGCGUCAUCACUAGCAGAAGUACUAAUGGCGCUGGCAACAUAUCGGCGGCUUUCCUGGAGCCGGAGGAGGGCAUGAUCCUGGAGGUGCCCAACCUGCGCAUUUUCACGUUCGCCGAGCUCAAGGCCGCGACCAGGAACUUCAAGCCCGACACCGUCCUGGGUGAGGGCGGGUUCGGGAGGGUUUACAAGGGCUGGGUCGACAAGAAGAAGACGAUGAACCCCACGAGCAGCGGCGUUGGCAGCGCCAUGGUUAUUGCCGUCAAGAAGCUCAAACCGGGGAGCAGCCAGGGCCUGGAAGAAUGGCAGUGUGAGGUGAACUUCCUUGGGAGGAUGUCGCAUCCGAACCUGGUGAGGCUGCUGGGGUACUGCUUGGAGGAGAGGGAGCUCUUGCUUGUCUACGAGUUCAUGGCCAAGGGGAGCUUGGAGAAUCAUCUCUUCAGAAAAGGCGGCUCCGUCCAUCCAAUCUCAUGGGCCCUACGGUUACGGAUCGCCAUCGGCGCCGCACGCGGCCUCGCCUUCUUGCACUCGUCGGACAAGCAUGUCAUCUACCGAGACUUCAAGUCUUCCAACAUCCUCCUCGACACGCACUACAAUGCCAAGAUAUCCGACUUCGGCCUCGUCAGGAACGGCCCGGCCGACGGCGACAGCCAUGUCACCACCCGCAUCAUGGGCACUUACGGCUACGCUGCACCAGAGUACGUUUCCACAGGUCACCUGUACGUGAAGAGCGACGUCUACGGGUUCGGCGUGGUGCUGCUGGAGAUGCUCACCGGUCUGCGCGCGCUCGACACGGCCCGGCCGGCACCGCAGCUCAACCUCGUGAACUGGGCCAAGCCGUACCUGGCGGACCGCCGGAGGCUGCCGCAGCUGGUAGAUCCGCACCUGGAAGGGCAGUACACGCCGAGGGCCGCCCUGCGAGCCGCGCAGCUCACCAUGAGUUGCCUCGCCGGCGACCCCAAGAACCGUCCCUCCAUGGCCGAGGUCGUCGCGGCGCUCGAGAAGAUCGAGCGCAUGAAGCCGCCACCGCACAGGCUCAUCUCGCCUCGGGCCGCCGCGCGGACUAUGCAUGGGCGCACGCAGACACGUAUACCUACACGUACAGCUAUGCUGCACUGA